rnacentral:rRNA from 1 species
GAUGAACGCUGGCGGCGUGCUUAACACAUGCAAGUCGAACGGUGAAGCCAAGCUUGCUUGGUGGAUCAGUGGCGAACGGGUGAGUAACACGUGAGCAACCUGCCCUGAACUCUGGGAUAAGCGCUGGAAACGGCGUCUAAUACUGGAUAUGAGCUGCGGAGGCAUCUUCGUGGUUGGAAAGAUUUUUCGGUUUGGGAUGGGCUCGCGGCCUAUCAGCUUGUUGGUGAGGUAAUGGCUCACCAAGGCGUCGACGGGUAGCCGGCCUGAGAGGGUGACCGGCCACACUGGGACUGAGACACGGCCCAGACUCCUACGGGAGGCAGCAGUGGGGAAUAUUGCACAAUGGGCGGAAGCCUGAUGCAGCAACGCCGCGUGAGGGAUGACGGCCUUCGGGUUGUAAACCUCUUUUAGCAGGGAAGAAGCGAAAGUGACGGUACCUGCAGAAAAAGCGCCGGCUAACUACGUGCCAGCCGCCGCCGUAACAC